AAAACCGCCCUUUUCAGGGCGAAAAAAAUAUUAAAUAAAGAGUUU
rfam:Lutzomyia longipalpis Contig35370, whole genome shotgun sequence.